AGUCCCAAAUGGGACGAAACGCGCGUCCUGGAU
rnacentral:hammerhead_ribozyme from 1 species